rnacentral:rRNA from 1 species
UGGGGAAUUUUGGACAAUGGGCGCAAGCCUGAUCCAGCCAUGCCGCGUGCGGGAAGAAGGCCUUCGGGUUGUAAACCGCUUUUGUCAGGGAAGAAAAGGUUCUGGCUAAUACCUGGGACUCAUGACGGUACCUGAAGAAUAAGCACCGGCUAACUACGUGCCAGCAGCCGCGGUAAUACGUAGGGUGCAAGCGUUAAUCGGAAUUACUGGGCGUAAAGCGUGCGCAGGCGGUUAUGCAAGACAGAGGUGAAAUCCCCGGGCUCAACCUGGGAACUGCCUUUGUGACUGCAUGGCUAGAGUACGGUAGAGGGGGAUGGAAUUCCGCGUGUAGCAGUGAAAUGCGUAGAUAUGCGGAGGAACACCGAUGGCGAAGGCAAUCCCCUGGACCUGUACUGACGCUCAUGCACGAAAGCGUGGUGAGCAAACAGGAUUAGAUACCCUGGUAGUCCACGCCCUAAACGAUGUCAACUGGUUGUUGGGAGGGUUUCUUCUCAGUAACGUAGCUAACGCGUGAAGUUGACCGCCUGGGGAGUACGGCCGCAAGGUUG